rnacentral:tRNA from 1 species
GAUUAAUUAAUUAUAAGAAUAAUGUAUGUUUUGAAAACAUAAUAAAGGAGUUUGAGUCUCCUAUUAGUCU